CUGGUAGCCUCAACCUCCAAUUCGAAAAAUUACUUUAAUUCCUUAGUGGGUACUAGAAUCCACACAAACUACACACGAGCCCAACUUUGGUUGGUCAACCCAUGUGCAUCUAUGGGUAGGUUCAUAACCAGUUGUUUCUCUAAACAACUUCUAGUAAUUAAUUUUGCCCCAGAACCUAAUCAGUAGGCUUUGGCCUCCACUAAAAAGAUCUGGUUAGGUCCAACCAUUAACAUGACUUGAUUUGGUGAAUCGGACCAAUAAAUGAUCAGGCCCGACUUUAGCCGGCCAACCUGACCACCAUCAGAAAGACUCAAACCAAAUUAUCAUACUAUGAAUGAUAAUUUCAUUAGUCAAUAAGCACCAAGCCUUUGGGCCUCCAGUGAUUAUU
rnacentral:lncRNA from 1 species